UACGUAGGGAGCGAGCGUUGUCCGGAUUCAUUGGGCGUAAAGAGCUCGUAGGCGGCUUGGUAAGUCGGAUGUGAAACCUCCAGGCUCAACCUGGAGUCGCCAUCCGAUACUGCCAUGGCUAGAGUCCGGUAGGGGCCCACGGAAUUCCUGGUGUAGCGGUGAAAUGCGCAGAUAUCAGGAGGAACACCAAUGGCGAAGGCAGCUCGCUGGGACGGUACUGACGCUGAGACGCGAAAGCGUGUGGAGCAAACAGG
rnacentral:rRNA from 1 species